GAUCAAGUGAAAGAAGGGCAUUUGGUGGAUGCCUUGGCAUGCACAGGCGAUGAAGGACGUGAUACGCUGCGAAAAGCCGUGGGGAGCUGCGAAUGAGCUUUGAUCCAUGGAUCUCCGAAUGGGGCAACCCACCUUAGAUGCUUGGAAAAUCAUUUUGGUUGGCAUCUGGUCCCGAAGCCGUAAGGCUUCGCAAGGCCAGAGGCCGUCGCCGGUUAUCCGGCGUCAAGAAACCAAAGUGGUUUCCAAGCAUUGUUGAAAGGUAUCUU
rnacentral:rRNA from 1 species